UUACAUGCAUUGAAAACAUUGACAGCUAAUUUUUGUUUUAAGGUUUUUUGUAUUCUCGACGAUAUGAAAUUAGAGUGCCCCCAUUUUUUUUUUUUAAACGAUAUGAAAGAUUAGUCCAUGUUUAAACUAAAAACCCAGAAACCCAUGCCAUCUCCCAAGACUAGUCAAAAUUUUGAUACAAUAAUAACUUGCCGUGAACGUGAAGUACUUAAAGAUCACGAUGACGAAACAUGGAAGAUUUAACAAUUUAGUUGAACCAGGACAUUAGGGGGCAAAUGGUUUCCGGUACACAUCUUCUUCUUCACCCAAUUAUUAUUAUUAUCAUUUGUUUUGCUUAAACUCUUCUUCAACCAAUUUGCGCACUUGACUAUUAAAAAUGUUCUGCAAAUAGUUUGCUAGAGAUAAUCUGAAGAAAUAACACUGCAAAUCUGAUUGAAAAAGUAAACUAAUUUACAAGAACCAACGAAAUUUACAUCUAAAAGUCAACCAAAAAAAAAAGAAAAAGAAGCAAGAUAUAUAAUGUAAUAAAAAGAAGAUUAAAUUUUCAAGGGAGAAAACCAAAGAGGAAUGGAGAAGGGUAAGAAGGGGAGAUGCCAUGGCGGAGGAGCGACGGGGGAGGCAGAGGAGUACGGUGGUUGAGGUGUUGCCGCCAUGCAAUCUGGACGGUUUCAGCCACCACUACGACGAACUCCAUACCU
rnacentral:lncRNA from 1 species